rfam:Agrilus planipennis Contig9772, whole genome shotgun sequence.
AAGAAACCAAAUCGUUUUGAUGUCUGUUUCCGCCUUUCCCUUACUGUUCCACUUUCAACCCCACCUUUCCUCAACCCUUGGUACUCGGUUGAAGGGGACCCACGUCGUCUUAGAACUGCCUGAGGUAGAGGAGUUUUAGUCGGUAGGUUCGAGGACUUCUUCCUCGGAAAUCCGACACUACCCAGUCGUACGGACGUCUUUUCAAGAUUUCCCCUCUUCCACGAAA